UUGAAAUAUUUUAAAACAUUGGGUGUAAUUAAUUAAAACAUGAGCACAAUAACAGGAAUACAAACAGAGGCUUUUAAUUUUUUUGAAAGGUCUGUUCAAAGCGAUUCAAUGUCAUUACCUCACAAGAGUAGUUUGGUGCAAGUCCAGCUUGCACUGCGAAUAUUAAUCAUAAAUAUAGCUUUUAAUGCAUUAGAGUAACAUAUUCCAAAAAUGCCUUUUUCGCUUAUAGCGUUUCAUGUUUUCUGCAAAUAUCGUUUGAAUACUAAAUCGCCAAAAUGCAAUUAGCGUGUUUGAAAGUGGAGUGAUAUAUGGAUGCCCACUUCCAAUAUUCAAGUAGUUUUAUUACGCCGAACGUACAUCACAUUCAUUUCAACGUUUAAAUGGAAGCAGUUACAAACAAUGUCGCGUUUAUAUCUACCAGAUGUGCCGGCCAUGAACAACGGGUUACAAAUUAUUAUUGAAUCAGAUGGUUGCGAAAGUUUUCCCUCGAUCCCCAGGAAAGUAAUCAAAAACAUAAUGAAAAAGUCUUUGCAUUCUGGCUGUGAUCUUUCUCUUCCGUCAUUCCCUCGUUAAUUUUUCCACGUUCUUGUUUCACAUGUCACGUCGAUGUGGGACAAAGGAUGGCUCUGACAGUAACUAAAAUUACGGAAUGUUCUUUCGCUUGAUUACCUCCAAUGUCAAGGCUGUUUCCAGGUACACGACACGACUAUACUGUAAAGGAAUUGCUUUCAGAGGGAUUCGAGGCAACACUUCCUUUAUCAUCCUGUAUUUCAUGUGCAAACUAUGCCAACGAACAUCAAUCAUCUCUGCAUCAACCAAAAUCCUUAUUUCCGCCUCGUUGGUUUCAAAGAACACUAUCGAUAUCCCGACGUUAAAACCCGAGCAACAGCUUCAUUUAAUUAACGCCAAAUGCAGAGAAAAAUUCCAGUGCGUCAAUAAACGCUUGGAGGGAUUCCUCGAGGGUUGAUAUAUCUACAAAAAUUCGGAGCGAGCGGACUAAACCAAUGGCACUGGUCAUUUUACGAAUAACAGCACUGUUUUUUAUUGUCACGCGAAGUAUGGGACAAUCCAGGGAGAUUUUACUGGACGAUGACCACCCAGCCGUUAAAGCGGAAAACGAAGAACAGUUCCUGCAAGAAGUGCCGUGUAACAUGGAUUAUCAGGUCGUGAAGAGAGUUGUUGGAACUUGCAUUAAACUCGGGAGAAGUGCAAGAGGCUGUGUAGCCGGAAACUACCUGCAACCGCUACACCCCGAGUGUAUGUAAGGAUGAAAUAUUGCAAACAUUCAAACGACUUUACGCUGGAAAUGGAAACCUCUUUUGCACCUGGGCAUAAAAUACGAACCUUUUUCCACUAGAAACUUUGUUUAAUUAAAGGACAAACUUUCCAGAAAAAUCAA